rnacentral:lncRNA from 1 species
ACCGAGCGUGCAAGCCGGCCAAAUGUUACAGAUAACUCAAAUGUCUGUUGCUAUGCCAAAGAAAUCUUUACAAAAAAGCUAAAACAAGAUGCAGGUGGGGUUGAAAAACCUGUUCCAAACCGACUCGUCGUUUCAUUUAUUUAUCUUUUAUGUUCUCUUCAGUACUUACAGAGUGACAGUCAUGCAGCUGAAUGUAGUACUCGUCGGUUUGGCCAUUCUUGGUCUCAGCCAAGCAGGGAGCGAAGCCACACUUGUCAGCCCCGUCGAUGAAGACGGGACCAGGGCUGAUUCCGUAACCGCUGAUCGCGCAGACCAGACCAGCGAGGAGAAAGCGCGAUUUAGAGAGGGCUGCAUGGAAUCCCUCUGCAGAUAGCCACGCGGAGACUCGUGCAAGAAAAAGGCGAACACUUUGAAAAGAGUUCAGAGGCAUUCCAAGCACGUAAGUGUAGUGAUGGGCCUCGAGUAGUCACGGAUGGCCUUUUGACAUGUUCGCGCAAUAAAAUGAAGGAAAACAUUCGAA